rnacentral:rRNA from 2 species
CUUGGUGAUUUAAUUUAAUGUGCCCCACCUCUUCCCAUUCCGAACAGAGAAGUGAAAGCAUUAAAUCCCGAUGAUACUCGCUGCUUCGGCGGUUGGGAAAGUAGGGUUUGCCAGGA